UACGGAGGGGGCUAGCGUUGUUCGGAAUUACUGGGCGUAAAGCGCGCGUAGGCGGCUUUGUAAGUUAGAGGUGAAAGCCCAGGGCUCAACCCUGGAAUUGCCUUUAAGACUGCAUCGCUUGAACAUCGGAGAGGUAAGUGGAAUUCCGAGUGUAGAGGUGAAAUUCGUAGAGAUCGGGAGGAACAUCUGUGGCGAAGGCGACUACCUGGACCAGCACUGACACUGAGGCACGAAAGCGUGGGGAGCAAACAGG
rnacentral:rRNA from 1 species